AUUGAACGCUGGCGGCAUGCCUUACACAUGCAAGUCGAACGGUAACAGCUCUUCGGAGGCUGACGAGUGGCGAACGGGUGAGUAAUACAUCGGAACGUGCCCGAUCGUGGGGGAUAACGGAGCGAAAGCUUUGCUAAUACCGCAUACGAUCUACGGAUGAAAGCAGGGGACCCUCGGGCCUUGCGCGAACGGAGCGGCCGAUGGCAGAUUAGGUAGUUGGGGGGAUAAAAGCUUACCAAGCCGACGAUCUGUAGCUGGUCUGAGAGGACGACCAGCCACACUGGGACUGAGACACGGCCCAGACUCCUACGGGAGGCAGCAGUGGGGAAUUUUGGACAAUGGGCGAAAGCCUGAUUCAGCAAUGCCGCGUGCAGGAUGAAGGCCUUCGGGUUGUAAACUGCUUUUGUACGGAACGAAAAGUCUCGGGAUAAUACCCUGGGACCAUGACGGUACCGUAAGAAUAAGCACCGGCUAACUACGUGCCAGCCGCCGCGGUAACAC
rnacentral:rRNA from 1 species